GCGGGAGAAGCCACUGCAGAUUGUGUCCUGGGCGGCGGGAGCCGCUGAAAGCUGCAGCAGGCAUUCAGGCAGCUUUCCCAGGUGGGGCUGUCCGGAUGUUGGGGUGCAACUACCGUACCACCAUCCCCAGGCACAAACAGCACUGACAGAGGGAAGCUCCUGUAGGAGCAGUUGGCAUAGGAAGAAAACGAAUGGGAAAGAGGAAGAACGUAGGAGCGAGCGAGCUUCUGCCUGAGGAGUCAGGCCGUGCGCAGAACUGCAGGGCCUAGAGAUGCAUUCACGGCCUUGAUGCCAUCAUGACGACCCUCCAAAAGACAGUAUUUUGAACGACUGGAUGCUUGAUUUCAAAACAUAUUCCCAGCCAGGGAAUCAUGCAACUGCAUGAUGGGUGAAUUUUCUGUCUGAUCAGAGAGAGAUCUUAAAAUUAUCUACCAGGGAAGAGCCAUGGAACUGAACUCAAAGGAGCAGUCCAGCUCCCCUCAGAAGCCGGGAGUGAAAGCUCAGUCCAAAUCCACAGAGGAGAUCCAGCCUGCCAAGAAGGCCAUCCACACUCCCCAGAAGUCAUUGCCCAAUGAGACGGAUAGAGAUGAGUCCAGGAUGCUCAUAUCAAGAAAAAAUGUCUGACGUGAUCAUCAUUGAAAAUACUUUAGCAAGUGCACAUUUACUGUCACGACUCCUGUUCUGUCCCACCAUCCGAUGCCUCUCAGCAGGAGCAGAUCUGAGGAGCAGGAACUGCUUGUGUGGCCUAUAACAAAAUGUGGAGUUGUGCUGCUCCUUGGCUUUGUGUUAUUGCUCAAACUUCAUGUCCUCAUGGCUAUCAGCAUGGUUCCAUCUGUCCAGCUGUCAGUGUUUAACUGUUUGUCCUGUCAGUGGAAUGAGAUCUGGGUAAAUAAAGUUUGUUUGAACAUCUUUUAUUCUUAGUUGUUGUAGGUAUGC